GCAGUCGAACGAUGAAGCUUCUAGCUUGCUAGAAGUGGAUUAGUGGCGCACGGGUGAGUAAGGUAUAGUUAAUCUGCCCUACACAAGAGGACAACAGUUGGAAACGACUGCUAAUACUCUAUACUCCUGCUUAACACAAGUUGAGUAGGGAAAGUUUUUCGGUGUAGGAUGAGACUAUAUAGUAUCAGCUAGUUGGUAAGGUAAUGGCUUACCAAGGCUAUGACGCUUAACUGGUCUGAGAGGAUGAUCAGUCACACUGGAACUGAGACACGGUCCAGACUCCUACGGGAGGCAGCAGUAGGGAAUAUUGCGCAAUGGGGGAAACCCUGACGCAGCAACGCCGCGUGGAGGAUGACACUUUUCGGAGCGUAAACUCCUUUUCUUAGGGAAGAAUUCUGACGGUACCUAAGGAAUAAGCACCGGCUAACUCCGUGCCAGCAGCCGCGGUAAUACGGAGGGUGCAAGCGUUACUCGGAAUCACUGGGCGUAAAGGGCGCGUAGGCGGAUUAUCAAGUCUCUUGUGAAAUCUAAUGGCUUAACCAUUAAACUGCUUGGGAAACUGAUAGUCUAGAGUGAGGGAGAGGCAGAUGGAAUUGGUGGUGUAGGGGGUAAAAUCCGUAGAUAUCACCAAGAAUACCCAUUGCGAAGGCGAUCUGCUGGAACUCAACUGACGCUAAGGCGCGAAAGCGUGGGGAGCAAACAGGAUUAGAUACCCUGGUAGUCCACGCCCUAAACGAUGUACACUAGUUGUUGGGGUGCUAGUCAUCUCAGUAAUGCAGCUAACGCAUUAAGUGUACCGCCUGGGGAGUACGGUCGCAAGAUUAAAACUCAAAGGAAUAGACGGGGACCCGCACAAGCGGUGGAGCAUGUGGUUUAAUUCGAAGAUACGCGAAGAACCUUACCUGGGCUUGAUAUCCUAAGAACCUUUUAGAGAUAAGAGGGUGCUAGCUUGCUAGAACUUAGAGACAGGUGCUGCACGGCUGUCGUCAGCUCGUGUCGUGAGAUGUUGGGUUAAGUCCCGCAACGAGCGCAACCCACGUAUUUAGUUGCUAACGGUUCGGCCGAGCACUCUAAAUAGACUGCCUUCGUAAGGAGGAGGAAGGUGUGGACGACGUCAAGUCAUCAUGGCCCUUAUGCCCAGGGCGACACACGUGCUACAAUGGCAUAUACAAUGAGACGCAAUACCGCGAGGUGGAGCAAAUCUAUAAAAUAUGUCCCAGUUCGGAUUGUUCUCUGCAACUCGAGAGCAUGAAGCCGGAAUCGCUAGUAAUCGUAGAUCAGCCAUGCUACGGUGAAUACGUUCCCGGGUCUUGUACUCACCGCCCGUCACACCAUGGGAGUUGAUUUCACUCGAAGCCGGA
rnacentral:rRNA from 1 species